rnacentral:lncRNA from 1 species
CCGACGUUCCAGCAGCUCCAUGCGGGGAUCCCGUAGGCUGACACGGCACGAACACCCUCAUCGUCUUGUCCCGCACAUCUACUCUUAUUUCGCUUCCACAAACGGUGGACCGAACUACAAACCAGGGAGCCAUCUGGUGGCUCCAGUCACUGCUCCCUGAACCUCCAGCUCAUCGGCCACACAACCAAGUCUGUGUCCCCGUAUCUCUCGUCUCUUCUGGCCUCUGCUUUGCCAGCAUCCCUUGCUUUGGUGACCAUCUCUGAGAAGAUGUCCCUGCUUCUCGUGUCACCCCAUCCUCGCUCUGCAGGAUUAUCUUUCCAACUACGUCCAAUCAUUUUACUCGCUGGCUGACUUAGCACAUACACCUGACUCCCUGUUGUGGGGGAGACCGUUCACACUCUUUGGUGUGCAGAGCAGGGUUCAUGGUGGCCCUGGGGCCCAACUGCGAGUGACCCUCCGGCCCGAAUCCUGCCCCAUUUAGCCCCUGUGCGCAGCUCAUCUUGUCUCGUAUCUUGCUCUCAAGCCACACUCAGCCAAACCCCUCAUUUGCUCGCUAAGCUGCCCUUCCUGGCACCUGCCCUUCUGUGUUUGGGAAAGAAUUCUGAAUUUAGAAUCAGAUGGACCCUCACGGCCCUUCCACUCAGCUUGGCACCCCUCCAGAAUUUCUGAACCUCGGCACACCAUCACCAGCUUGUCGUCGGUGGAGCCUUUCCUUCCCAGGACACCUGGAUCCCUCGGGGGUGCCCGCUCUACUCCUUCCACCUCUGUCUUUGCCCUUCUCCCCGACUCGUUCUAUCAGUCCCUCCGAGGAACUGGCUUCUCUGAGCCCCCAACACCUAGUAUCGUGCCUGGCAUCUAACAGAUGAUGGAACGAAUGGGGGAAAGUGCGAGCAAAAGUUCCAUUUGCCAAUCUGUAAAAUGGGGAUAAUAUCCUGGCCUCAGAGAACAGCGGGCAUUUGGUUUCUGCCCUUGGCCCUCUGUGUGACCAGUAGGUGGCGCUGUGAUCUACGAAUUCACGUUUCCUGGGGCCUCUGGGGCCUACAUCUGGAGUGCAGGUGGUCUGGAUGAACUAAAACCCAAAUCAGACUAAUCAAACCUCCCCCUGAGAGGUGCUAACCCAUGCGGCCCCUGUCCUCUGGGCGGGGGCGGGCGGGACGCAGCGGAGAGGCUCCUUCUGCAGCCUUGAAUGGAGGGACAUGCCCAUUCCUCCCGCUGUGCUCCCCUGGGGAGGCUCCGUGGAGUUAGGGACCCUCAGACACUUGGAUCUGGGGCCUCAUCUGACUCGGACCCUCAUCGUUCAAGGUGAAAGGGCCAUUGUCCUGUUUGGUUAAGAACAUGACUUUGGAGCUGACCUGGCCUGGGUCCGAAUGCCCGCACCGCCUCACCCUUGGUGUAUGACCCUGGGACGGUACCUUUCCUGAGCCACCUGUGUAGUAGUCACCCAUCACCGAUAGAGACUAUCGGGAAAGAGACCGGGUUCUAUAGGAUGUGUAUAUAUAGAGAGAUUUAUCUAAAGAUUUGGCUCACCCGACCGUGGGGGCUGGCAGGUCUGAAACCUGCAGGCAGGCAGGCGGGGUGGGGACCCCAAGGAAUAGUUGAUGCCGAGAUCUCCAGUUCAAGGGUAGUCUCGGGGCAGCAUUCCUUCCCCUCUGGAGACCUUCGUCCUUGGAUGCCCAGCUCCGCUCCUACAGGCUCCGGCUUGGAACCUCACAGCAGCCUCCCAGGGAAGCUGGGACCCUGCAUGCGUCUAGUCUCUCCAGCCCAUGACCGCGAGGGACCGAUUCCCUCCAGUCUUGAGGAACAAAGGCAGCUGGGACCCCUGGCCACAGAGGGGAGUGUCAACACGGGGGCUCCUGGCCAGAGUCUCACCACAGCAGAGAUGCCCCACUUGUGACAGAGACUCCCCACUUGUGACAGGCUCUCCUGCUCCUGCAGCUUCUCAAAUGGAAGUUCGGCAGCAUCAUGGGAGGGACAUCCCAGUGGCAACAAGCAUGGAGCAUGGGAAAGCACGACCCCGGGGCACCUGGGUGGCUCAGCGGUUGAGCAUCUGUCUUUGGCUCAGGCCAUGAUCCCAGAGUCCUGGGAUGGAGCCCUCCAUUGUGAUCCCGGCUCAGCAGGGAAUCUGCUUCACCCUCUCCCUGUGCCCCACUCCCCUGCUCAUGCUUGCUCUCCCUCCCUCCCUCCUCUCUCUCUCCA